AUUGAACGCUGGCGGCAGGCCUAACACAUGCAAGUCGAGCGGAUGAGGAGAGCUUGCUCUCUGAUUUAGCGGCGGACGGGUGAGUAAUGCCUAGGAAUCUGCCUGGUAGUGGGGGAUAACGUUCCGAAAGGAACGCUAAUACCGCAUACGUCCUACGGGAGAAAGCAGGGGACCUUCGGGCCUUGCGCUAUCAGAUGAGCCUAGGUCGGAUUAGCUAGUUGGUGAGGUAGUGGCUCACCAAGGCGACGAUCCGUAACUGGUCUGAGAGGAUGAUCAGUCACACUGGAACUGAGACACGGUCCAGACUCCUACGGGAGGCAGCAGUGGGGAAUAUUGGACAAUGGGCGAAAGCCUGAUCCAGCCAUGCCGCGUGUGUGAAGAAGGUCUUCGGAUUGUAAAGCACUUUAAGUUGGGAGGAAGGGUUGUAGAUUAAUACUCUGCAAUUUUGACGUUACCAACAGAAUAAGCACCGGCUAACUUCGUGCCAGCAGCCGCGGUAAAAC
rnacentral:rRNA from 1 species